UCCUAGCCAUUUAUAUCACUAUAUGGGAAAAUUUGCAAAAAUUCUAGUUUACUUAUAAGUUUGGUCGUGGAAGAAACAGAAAAAAAAAAAAAUUAGCAGCAGAAUAGACUAAGGUGGGUAGAGAUGAUAAUUCAUACCUGCUGUGACUUGAUGAAGCUGUUCUGCGAUGAAAAUUAUCACAAUGAAGAUCCUCAUAAAUUUAAUAAUUCUCGAAAGGAAAGAAGGAUAUUUCUUGUUUAUGCUUGGAUUGUGCUCAAGUGUUUUCUUCCUCGACUGAGAUACACAGGAGGGAGCCAUGACGGGAAAAUUGUGGUCUUCUGGCCAUCAAA
rnacentral:lncRNA from 1 species